GACGAACGCUGGCGGCGUGCUUAACACAUGCAAGUCGAACGGAAAGGCCCUGCUUUUGUGGGGUGCUCGAGUGGCGAACGGGUGAGUAACGCGUGAGUAACCUGCCCUUGCCUUUGGGAUAACUUCAGGAAACUGGGGCUAAUACCGGAUAGGAGCUCCUGCUGCAUGGUGGGGGUUGGAAAGUUUCGGCGGUUGGGGAUGGACUCGCGGGUGAUCAGCCUGUUGGUGGGGUAGUGGCGUACCAAGGCUUUGACGGGUAGCCGGCCUGAAAGGGUGACCGGCCACAUUGGGACUGAGACACGACCCAGACUCCUACGGUAGGCAGCAGUGGGGGAUAUUGCACAACAGCGGGAAGCCUGAUGCAGCAGCGCCGCGUGCGGGAUGACGGCCUUCGGGUUGUGAACCGCUUUCGCCUGUGACGAAGCGUGGGUGACGGUAACGGGUAAAGAAGCACCGGCUAACUACGUG
rnacentral:rRNA from 1 species